rnacentral:tRNA from 1 species
AGCGUCACGCCGGCAGAACGGACUACUUUGAUGAAGUAGAUUAAGGGUUAAACCCCUGACGCUU